rnacentral:rRNA from 1 species
UUGAACGCUGGCGGCAUGCCUUACACAUGCAAGUCGAACGGCAGCACGGACUUCGGUCUGGUGGCGAGUGGCGAACGGGUGAGUAAUGUAUCGGAACGUACCUUUCAGUGGGGAUAACGUAGCGAAAGUUACGCUAAUACCGCAUAUUCUGUGAGCAGGAAAGCAGGGGAUCGCAAGACCUUGCGCUGAUUGAGCGGCCGAUAUCAGAUUAGCUAGUUGGUGAGGUAAAGGCUCACCAAGGCGACGAUCUGUAGCGGGUCUGAGAGGAUGAUCCGCCACACUGGAACUGAGACACGGUCCAGACUCCUACGGGAGGCAGCAGUGGGGAAUUUUGGACAAUGGGGGCAACCCUGAUCCAGCCAUGCCGCGUGAGUGAAGAAGGCCUUUGGGUUGUAAAGCUCUUUCGGCCGGGAAGAAAUCGCAUGGGCUAAUACCCUGUGCGGAUGACGGUACCGGCAUAAGAAGCACCGGCUAACUACGUG